GUUUAUUUUCCUCAUUCUUGACAUGAGACGGAAGCUCUCUGUCGAAUCUUGGAUCAAUAAGCUGCUGUCCAGAAUGUAUGUGAAGAGCUCAGCCCUUCUCUUUCUGUUAAUAUCUUCAUCUUUCCCGGCUGAAAUAGUAAAAAAUGUCCUGAAAGGCGAAUCCGUCACAUUUACUGGAGUGUCUUAUGUGGGAAAUAUCACAUCCAUGUUAUGGAAAUGGGAAACAAGCAAGGUUGCAGAGUGGGAAAAAGAAGACACAGAACCAACUUACUAUCGGAAAUUUACGAAUCGUUCAAGCCUGGACAUGAAAACAUGGACCCUGACCCUCCAAAACCUGGAAUCAGAAUUUAAUGGUCUUUAUUCACUUGAAAUAGACCAGGAAACAAGGAAGACUUUUCAACUGACUGUAUAUGAAUCUGUUUCCAAACCAAACAUUGACAAAAAGUGUGACUCGGUCAACUGCACCUUGACUUGUAAGGGUGUGCAAAGUGACAACAUUUCGUAUUCGUGGAAGGACAAUAAAGGGAAUCGUUUGUCUGGGAAUGUCUGGAGAGUAACUAAGAGCACAGAUUUGGAUGUGGUCUACACCUGCAAUGUCAGCAAUCCAGUAAGCUGGAACAACAGCUCCAUCACAGAGAGAGAGAUGUUCCCAUCAGAUUCACAUUCAGCAGUUGUAGUUGGAGCUACAAGUGCAGUAUUUGUAGUUGCAGUUGCAGUUGCAGUUGCAGUCAUCUAUUUCCGGAACAGACAACAUGGGUCAUGUCGGAAUCAGCAGCAGCAAAACCAAUCAGAUGCAGCAGCAAAUCAGCAACAAGGCAUUCAACUACUCAAUACCCAGCCUGGGUCAUGUCAGAAUCAACAGCAGCAAAACCAAUCAGAUGCAGCAGCAAAUCAGCAACCAGUAUUUCCACUACUCGAUCCCCAGCCUGGAAAUGCUGCUGACUGAAAACCUGGUGAUGAAGGCGUUGGGAAUUCUGAGGAUGAGCAAAUGUGAUGCAGCAAUCAUUCUGCAGGUGCUUCAAGGUGCUUUCAUGACAUUUGUCCUUGUACAGACAUUAAUAACUCAUAAUGAAGUCUUUUGUUACAGAGCUAAUCUCCUAUUGAUUUCUGAAAAUGUUUAACUAUAUAGAGAAAUAGUUCCAUAUUAUUUAAAGGUGCAGUAUGUGCAGUAUGUUAUGUCCAGUGGUGAGUUUGCCGGGUGCUACCAGCGUCUUCACCCGAUAAAACAUAAUGCGUAAUACAUACCUUAUAGUUCAAGUCUACAAUGAGGUGCUGUUUUGUGUUGUGCCUUUAUUCUCAACGUCUCCUUUUUUCCGGUUUCUGCGAACCCCCUAUUCAGCAUGAGACAUAUUCAACACAAUCUUAUCAUGCUCUAAUGAAAACAUUCUUAUCAAUUCAAUACUCUGCUCAUAGAUUUAUAUAGCAAUAUUAGACGUAUCACAAAUUGGGGGUUACAACACAUGGUGCUUUCAACAAAUAUCUUUAGAAUGUAUUAUUGCACAGUUUAGGCUGUUUACGUCUGCAGAUAGAUGUGAUGUGAUAUGUUCAUCAGAUGUGUUCAUCAGAUUUUUGCAUAAAAUGAAGUUGUGUCUAUACCACAGAGGAACUGAAAUAUGAAGUAACAUGAAGGAUUUUAGUACAUCUUAUGUUCUGCUCCACACAUAAGAAGUCUAACCAUGGUAGGACACCCACCCACAGAUCACUUGGGGGAGCUGUUGGUGUGUUAAUGACUACAGGAACAUAAAGGGUAUCUGGGCAAUAUAAAAACAUGGGAGUGAAAUGAAAGUGAAAAAUAAUGUUAUUAACACAGUAGUAUUUUGGGUGUACUAUGACAUAUAUGAACUUGUCAAUUGCAUUCCACAUGGUUAUUUUCCAUAGUCCCAUGGCCAUAUUUUGGGGGACUCAAAGUUCUCAUUUAGUCCAAAACGGACUAUGUUAUAGAAAUACGAUUUUUGCACCUUGUACAGUAACUGUUUGUCAUUUGAUUUACUGUUUUGAGAGCUCCUUAAUAUAUGAAGUGCAAAUAUUUGAAAUAAACUAUAAUUGUGUGAGUUAUGCA
ensembl:lncRNA CD48 antigen-like